rnacentral:rRNA from 1 species
UACGGGGGGGGCAAGCGUUGUUCGGAAUUACUGGGCGUAAAGGGCUCGUAGGCGGCCAACUAAGUCGGAUGUGAAAUCCCCAGGCUCAACCUGGGAACUGCAUCCGAUACUGGAUGUCUUGAAUUCGGGAGAGGGAUGCAGAAUUCCAGGUGUAGCGGUGAAAUGCGUAGAUAUCUGGAGGAAUACCGGUGGCGAAGGCGGCAUCCUGGACCGACAUUGACGCUGAUGAGCGAAAGCCAGGGGAGCAAACGGG